rfam:Alligator mississippiensis ScZkoYb_22, whole genome shotgun sequence.
AUGCAUGCUGAAGUAUAAUUUAUGAAACUGAGCCCAAGAAACAGCCAAUCAGUUAGCUCCUCAUAACAAGUCCAACUGGCUCUGAAGAGCUGAAAGUGCUGCAACAGAACAAUAAAGAAGAGCUAUCCCACACAUUAAUCUGCUUAUCUGGGAUUGCUGUGUGUCAGAAAACAGAAAACAUGAAAGGAUAGUUUCACUGUUAACAAAACCUGCAGAUAACUGCACUGAGAUCAGAAGUGCUACAAUCAA